rnacentral:rRNA from 1 species
AUGAACGCUGGCGGCGUGCCUCAUACAUGCAAGUCGAGCGAACAGACGAGGAGCUUGCUCCUCUGACGUUAGCGGCGGACGGGUGAGUAACACGUGGAUAACCUACCUAUAAGACUGGGAUAACUUCGGGAAACCGGAGCUAAUACCGGAUAAUAUAUUGAACCGCAUGGUUCAAUAGUGAAAGACGGUUUUGCUGUCACUUAUAGAUGGAUCCGCGCCGCAUUAGCUAGUUGGUAAGGUAACGGCUUACCAAGGCAACGAUGCGUAGCCGACCUGAGAGGGUGAUCGGCCACACUGGAACUGAGACACGGUCCAGACUCCUACGGGAGGCAGCAGUAGGGAAUCUUCCGCAAUGGACGAAAGCCUGACGGAGCAACGCCGCGUGAGUGAUGAAGGUCUUCGGAUCGUAAAACUCUGUUAUUAGGGAAGAACAAAUGUGUAAGUAACUAUGCACGUCUUGACGGUACCUAAUCAGAAAGCCACGGCUAACUACGUG